UACGUAGGGUGCAAGCGUUGUUCGGAAUUAUUGGGCGUAAAGCGCGUGUAGGCGGCUUUCUAAGUCUGAUGUGAAAUCCCGGGGCUUAACCCCGGAACUGCAUUGGAUACUGGUUAGCUAGAGGACGAUAGGGGGAAGCAGAAUUCCUGGUGUAGGGGUGAAAUCCGUAGAUAUCAGGAGGAACAUCGGUGGCGAAGGCGGCUUCCUGGAUCGUUACUGACGCUGAGACGCGAAAGCGUGGGGAGCAAAC
rnacentral:rRNA from 1 species